AGCGAACGCUGGCGGCAGGCCUAACACAUGCAAGUCGAACGAACCUUUCGGGGUUAGUGGCGGACGGGUGAGUAACACGUGGGAACGUGCCUUUAGGUUCGGAAUAACUCAGGGAAACUUGUGCUAAUACCGAAUGUGCCCUUAGGGGGAAAGAUUUAUCGCCUUUAGAGCGGCCCGAGUCUGAUUAGCUAGUUGGUUGAGGUAAUGGCUCACCAAGGCGACGAACAGUAGCUGGGCUGAGAGGAUGAUCAGCCACAUUGGGACUGAGACACGGCCCAAACUCCUACGGGAGGCAGCAGUGGGGAAUCUUGCGCAAUGGGCGAAAGCCUGACGCAGCCAUGCCGCGUGAAUGAGGAAGGUCUUAGGAUUGUAAAAUUCUUUCACCGGGGACGAUAAUGACGGUACCCGGAGAAGAAGCCCCGGCUAACUUCGUG
rnacentral:rRNA from 1 species